GAAAUGCAAAGAAGGAGAAUGGA
rnacentral:siRNA from 1 species